rnacentral:rRNA from 1 species
UACGUAGGGUGCAAGCGUUGUCCGGAAUUAUUGGGCGUAAAGAGCUUGUAGGCGGUCUGUCGCGUCUGCUGUGAAAUUUCGGGGCUCAACCCCGAACUUGCAGUGGGUACGGGCAGACUAGAGUGUGGUAGGGGAGACUGGAAUUCCUGGUGUAGCGGUGAAAUGCGCAGAUAUCAGGAGGAACACCGAUGGCGAAGGCAGGUCUCUGGGCCACUACUGACGCUGAGAAGCGAAAGCAUGGGGAGCGAACAGG